rnacentral:misc_RNA from 1 species
GAUGGAAGAACGCAGCGAAAUGCGAUAAGUAGUGUGAAUUGCAGAAUUCAGUGAAUCAUCGAAUCUUUGAACGCACAUUGCGCCCUUUGGUAUUCCUUAGGGCAUGCCUGUUCGAGCGUCAUUUAAACCUUCAAGCUAAGCUUGGUGUUGGGUGACUGUCCGCUUCACUGCGGACUCGCCUCAAAAUUAUUGGCGGCCGGUACAUUGGCUUCGAGCGCAGCAGAAACGCGAACUCGGGCCCGUCGUAUUGGCUCCCAGAAGCUAUCUUCACAAUUUUGACCUCGGAUCAGGUAGGGAUACCCGCUGAACUUAAGCAUAUCAAUAAGCGGAGGA